rnacentral:lncRNA from 1 species
GCGGGCCUCCUGGCCCCGGCGCCGCUGCUGGGCAUCGCCAGAUGCCCGCUGCUGGCGCUGGCCUGGGGGCCCGCUUGCUGCAUUGCGGGGCGGGCGCCUCCUCCCCUGCCCUCCCCUGGAGGCAGCGGGACUAUCUGGGCCGGGCAGCAUAGCUGUCCUCGGGCAGGAAUGUCCCUGCUCGCCCAGAUAAUGUUAUUUAUAUCGCAGGGCUGGGCGGCUCCGCUCGGCGCUCCCCGCGCUGCCCCAGCCCCGCCGCGCCUCUGCCUCGCCGCUGCCCCGGACUCCGCGCUGCUGCUGCUGUCCUGGAUAGCUUUCAGCAGCCUGCCAGCCUCUAAAAGGGAAUCGGAGGAGUGCCUGGGUUCCCAUCCGGAGUCUUCCAUUGCACCGAGAAGGCUCGUCCACAGCCAGUGCCAUCUGCGAUCGGCCUGUCUCCCUCCUAGCUGCCCUCCAGUAGGUUAA